AUGUGGGUGUGGGUAAAGAUUUGGGGUUGUGGGAACACGUGGGGAUGUGGGGCAGAUGGGGGGAAGAAGGGAUGUGGGGCAGAUGGGGGGCGUGGGGGCAGAUGUGGGAUGUGGGGCAGAUGUGGGAUGUGGGGCAGAUGUGGGAUGUGGGGCAGAUAUGGAGAUAUGGGGGUGUGGGUAAACAUGUGGGGUCUUGGGAACUGGUGGGGAUGUGGGGCAGCAAUGGCGCCUUGGGGACACUGCUGUCCCCAUGCGGUGGCACUUGGGGACACUGCUGUCACCUGGAGGUGGCACCUUGGGGACACUACUGUCACCUAGAGGUGGCACUUGGGGACACUGCUGUCACCUCUGGCUCCCACAGGACAGCAUUGGCGCCUUGGGGACACUGCUGUCACCAUGAGGUGGCACUUGGGGACACUGCUGUCACCCAUGAGGUGGCACCUUGGGGACAGUGCUGUCACCUCUGGCACCCACAGGACAGCUAUGGCACCCUGGGGACACUGCUGUCACCUAGAGGUGGCACCUUGGGGACACUGCUGUCCCCCAUGAGGUGGUGCUUGGGGACACUGCUGUCACCUCUGGCACCCAUGGACAGCAAUGGCACCUUGGGGACACUGCUGUCACCCAUGAGGUGGCACUUGGGGACACUGCUGUCACCUCUGGCUCCCACAUGACAGCAUUGGCGCCUUGGGGACACUGCUGUCACCUGGAGGUGGCACUUGGGGACACUGCUGUCACCUAGAGGUGGCACUUGGGGACACUGCUGUCACUUGGAGGUGACACUUGGGGACACUGCUGUCCCCUGUGAGGUGGCACUUGGGGACACUGCUGUCACCUGUGGCACCCACAGGACAGCAAUGGCACCCUGGGGACACUGCUGUCACCAGGAGGUGACACUUGGGGACACUGCUGUCCCCAAUAUCUGCGCAGCGCUGUCACCAAAGCACCAUAACCGAACCCUGGGGACACCGCCGUCCCCUUUACCCCCCUCCCCCCUUUAUCCCCAUGCUGUCCUCACCCGGGUGUCGCGUUGUCCCCAACGUUGUCCCCAAAUUGUCCCCAAAUUGUCCCCCCCCAGGCGCAGCUGGCCUUCCUGCAGGGCGAACGGAAAGGCCAGGAGAACCUGAAGACGGAUUUGGUGCGGCGCAUCAAGAUGUUGGAGUUCGCCCUGAAGCAGGAGAGGUGCUGGAUUUGAGGGGAGGGGAGGGGAGGGGGGGUCCAUUUUGGGGGAGGGGACAGC
rnacentral:lncRNA from 1 species